rnacentral:misc_RNA from 1 species
GCGCAUUAAUUCUGAAUAGGGGUUGGAAAAUGGAUGAAACUGCAGAGACAAGUUUAGAAAAUCUGAAACCAUAUCUCCUUCGUAUAUUUGUUUGUUUAAGCAUGGCAGUUUUCAACAUAAUCUCCAAGGUCACUUUAGAUGAAGGCAUGAGCCGCUAUGUGCCUGUGGUCUAUGGAUUCUCUUUUGGAACUAACUACAGCUCUUCUUGCACUACUCUUUAAGAGGAAAAAUGAAAAGCAAACUCAAUGGAGUUAUUUGCCUGCAUAUCUUCUUCUUGGGUUUUCUACGGUGAGUGGAUAUUUUACCAGGGACGACAAAAGAUACUGGAAUCGUCUCCGCAAGGUGCCGGAUUCGAGUCUCAAUCAAAAUCAAAUGAAAAAAGGAAGUAACUUGAUGUUAAGCUCAGUUUUUAACUUGUUUUGUACAUUGAUAAUUGCCUCAGAACUGUGGGGAGAGUGAUGCUGUUUGCUGGACUGCAAUACACUUCAUCAGCUUUUACAUCUGCCAUGCUUAACUUGGUUCCAGCCAUGACCUUUAUUGUGGCAAUUUUUUCCAGGUGCACUACUCAUUUCUUAAUAUCACACAAGUUCUAAUUAUAUUAGAUUCUUUAAUAAAUUUCAUUAAUUAGAACAACAAUUCACUCUUUGAAUAGAGUUGUUUGGCUUGAAGGUAUUUAGCUUUAGAUAGCAGAGGCAGUAAUUAAUGGCUGAAUUGUAAGCCCUGUAACACCCUGGAAAGACUAGAGAAUGUUUGGAUUUGUUUGACAAUUUAAUUCAAGUUUUGUUUGUUGUGUUCAGGAUAGACAAAUUGGAAAUUGCAAAGCUCAUUAGCAGAGCAAAAAUUGGAGGAACAAGAGUUGCGUUUGGUGGUGCAACAGUCAUGACCCUUUACAAGGGAAUUACUCUGAUUUCACUUCAUGGUCUCCACGCUCAUCAUAGUGCAAAGUCAAAGUCAUUUUCACAUAGGAAUUUUGUCAAGGGAUUCCUCAUCCUUGUGGAUCAAUGCCUUUCAAUGGCAGUGUUUGUGAUCAAUGCCUUUCAAUGGCAGUGUUUGUGAUCUUACAGGCGACCAAAUACAUUUUUUUUUUGUUUUGGUCCACGAGACUCUAAACUUAAAAUCUUAUAGCUCUGGAAACUAUUACAAUACCAUAACCUUGUUGUCAACAGUACCAAUUAGCCGAAGCUCAUUGUUUGUGAAAUGUCUGAUUCUUGACUCUCUCCCUCUCAAGCUUUUCUUUUCUUAACACCCCUGUCUUAUUUUCAUUUCAAUUACAGGU